AGAACGUAGUUUUUGUGAAGUAAUAUUAUAAUUUAUAAUUAUUGUCCGGAUGUAUGUUUAUCCGUGCGUGAACCACUUAACGCAGUCUAUAAAUACUUGCGGGAUUUUUGUGAAAUCCAAUCGUUUGGUGCAGUUUUAGUAGUUAAAGAAGUACCUGAAUACAAACAUGAAGUGUGCUGUGGCCAUAGUACUAGCUCUCAUCGGCAUGUCACUCGCUCACCCGGCUCCGUCCGGUUUGAGUGGACUAGUAUCUCCUCUGCUGCUACCCGCUGUAGAGGCUAGAUCCAGCAUCGUCAACCAUGGCUACACCAUACCUACCCCGUAUCCUUGUCAAACCUAUCCCUAUAAUCAAACCGUUGAUUGUCGAACCAAUCUAUAAAGUCCCCAUCGUCAAAUCUAUUUACGGCGGCUGGGGAGGUUACGGUUUACAUUAAAUAGGUCCUACCUAUACCUAAUGAUCUAGCUAAAAUAAACUGGACCGAAUGUUGAAAGUUAAACCCCUGUUCUAUACACUUUUGUAUCAAUAAAUCAUUUUUUAUAGCUGG